rnacentral:lncRNA from 1 species
UCUCUCUCUCACUUUCGUCCUUUCCUCCGCACUAAGUGCGUGUUUGGUUCUCUUCUUUCUCAUUCUGGAAUCGAAAUUGAAAUUGGUAAAUCCGUUUGUGGGUGUUUGGUACGCGGGAGUUCCAUUUCGAUUCCGAUUCCUGAGUGGAAUGGAAAUCCCCCAAUCACCUCUUUUUUCAAUCCGGUCUAGGAGGCCGGAUUGGAAGUUGAAUCCGGACGGAAUGGAUAUUUAUUCGGAUUAAAUUUAUUUUUUCAACUUUUUAAAUUAAAAUAUGAGUUAAAAUUUAAAAAUUAAAUAUAUAAUUUUAAAUUUUAAUUUGAANUGUUUACUCGGAAACUUCAGGGACUGAUUCACAGCAUCUGAAUGGUACAGUGACUAUAUAUCCAUGCAUCAUAUCCAUAAAGUCUACAACAACAGCAACAACAACAACAACAACAAUGAAGCCAUGCAAUACAUAUAUAGCAGAUAUGAUGAUGUAAAUUUUGACUAAGGUUUGCUUCUUGCUAGUUGUAUUAGUUGCUGGGCAAAGUAGAGGUAUAUAUGAGAAUGUUGCCUUGUUUUCUUUGGCUCAUGCUUAUUAUUUGUUGCUGAGGUUUAACAUCUUUUUUCAUUUCCCCCUCCUACCAAAGUGUGCUAUUGAGGUGUACAAAAUCAUUUUCCCGGUAAUAAAAUAGGAAAAAGAAGAAAAAGGUGUACAAAAUUAUAGGAG